UAUGUAUAUAUUAGCAUUCAAUUAUUAUGUCUCACUAUAAAAUACACAGUUUGUUUCCAUUAGUUUGACAUCAUCCCAAGACUCUUAAACAUUUCUGAGGAAAAAAAAAAGAUCAAAACUUAGAGAAUGAUGAAUCUCAUCUACUUGGUGAUCUGUAUGGCUUUCCUGAUCCUAAUGGCUGAAGUCAGCUGGGCACUUCCUUUAGAUAAGGACGAAUUUUUGAUAGAGAAGAGAUUAAAUGUUAACACGCUUAAAUCACUGGCUGGAUAAUAUAACAAGUUAUGACCACCAAUACAAUAAGUAAAUGCAAGAUCUAAGCAAUUUUGAUGGUUAAUUUGCAAUAAAAAUGAAAAUCGAAAAAAAAUACAUACACUUUCUGAUUUC